rnacentral:rRNA from 1 species
UUCUCGAAUUAAAAAGAGCUAUAACUAUAUAAAUUUAAUUGUGGCAUAAAUUUUUAUAAUAUGGUUAUAGAAAUGAAACGUUAGUCGUUUUUUAAGAUAUCUAGUUUCUUAAGAAAUAAAUUUAAUUUAGUUUUUUAGUUUUAAUUGAUUAAUUAUUUAGUUAAUUAAAAUAAGAAGGAAAUAUUUUAAGGGAUAAGCUUUAAAAUAGAAUAUUAAAAAUAAUUUUUAUUAGUUGAAAAUUUAUAGGAUUGGAAAUGUUUAUUGAUAGUUUGUUAUAAUUAAUUUUUAAUUGAAUAAGAUUUAUAUGAGUAUUUUAAGUUGUUUAUUAAGAUAAUAUAUUAAAUUUUAAUUUAUAUGUAAUAAUGAUAAAAUUAGUAUAGUUUAGUGUAUAAAAUAGUUUAAGAUCAAGGUUAAGUUAAGGAACUCGGCAAAUCUACUUUUCGCCUGUUUAUUAAAAACAUGUCUUUUUGAUUAUAAUUUAAAGUCUAACCUGCCCAAUGAGGAGUUAAAUGGCCGCGGUACUUUGACCGUGCAAAGGUAGCAUAAUCAUUAGUUUUUUAAUUGAAAGCUGGAAUGAACGGUUGGACGAGAAAGUGACUGUCUCAAUUUAAUUUAAAUUAGAAUUUUAUUUUUAAGUAAAAAAGCUUAUAUGAAUUUAAAAGACGAGAAGACCCUAUAGAAUUUUAUAUUUUUUUAUAGUUAUUAUUAUUGGUAUAGAAAGUUUUAGAUAUAGAAAAGUAUUUUGUUGGGGCGAUAGAAAAAUUAAAUAAACUUUUUUUAUAUAAUUCCAUUAAUUUAUGAGUAAAUGAUCCGUGAUUUACGAUUAUAAGAUUAAAUUACCUUAGGGAUAACAGCGUAAUUUUUUUUUAGAGUUCUUAUCGAAAAAAGAGUUUGCGACCUCGAUGUUGGAUUAAAAUUAACUUUUGGUGUAGGGGCUAAAAGGUUAGGUCUGUUCGA